AGGUGACUUCCAAACAGACUACUCAACUAUUAUGUAUAACAUCUUUCAUAAAAUAUUGAACCAUGUGAUUCAAAAUCGAGAAACCCAUAUAAUUAUAGGUGACUUUGAAAUAAAACUCCCUUCACUAUAGAUGACUUUGAAAUAGAGCCAUCAACAAUUAUGUAUUUAUUUUUAAUUGAUAUCUUUUCGACUUUUAUUUUUUAUUAAUUAAUUAAUUCAGUUUUAUUUGAUAUAUAAUAGUUAAUUAAUCUAUUUUCUAAAAUUUAGUAUUUAACUAUUUAAGAUUUAAAAUUUUUGUUUAAAUUUUUAGUUUAUUUGGCUAAAUUAGUAGUUAUGUGUAUGUUAAUAAAAAAAAUUAACAGAUAAAUUG
rnacentral:lncRNA from 1 species